UACGAAGGAGGCUAGCGUUGUUCGGAAUUACUGGGCGUAAAGGGCGCGCAGGCGGUCUUGUAAGUCAGAUGUGAAAGCCCCGGGCUCAACCCGGGAAUAGCAUUUGAUACUGCGAGGCUUGAUUCCGGGAGAGGAUGGCGGAAUUCCCAGUGUAGAGGUGAAAUUCGUAGAUAUUGGGAAGAACACCGGUGGCGAAGGCGGCAAUCUGGACCGGCACUGACGCUGAGGCUCGAAAGCGUGGGGAGCAAACAGG
rnacentral:rRNA from 1 species